rnacentral:lncRNA from 1 species
AGACUUUAAGAUACAAACAACACAAGUUUAAUACAACAUGAUAUAAUGUUUUUGAAACAGAAGGUUCAACAAUUGAGAAGCAAAAACACUUAUUUUAUCCUCAAACCAGAAAAUUGCAUAACUGGAAAUCAAAAGGAAGCGACAUCAGUUCUGAAAUAGAAGAGACCAGAUGGAGAACCAUUGGGAAGAAGUGCAAGCUUGACAGGACUAGCAGCACCUUCUUCAACUGUUAGAAANNNNNNNNNNNNNNNNNNNNNNNNNNNNNNNNNNNNNNNNNNNNNNNNNNNNNNNNNNNNNNNNNNNNNNNNNNNNNNNNNNNNNNNNNNNNNNNNNNNNNNNNNNNNNNNNNNNNNNNNNNNNNNNNNNNNNNNNNNNNNNNNNNNNNNNNNNNNNNNNNNNNNNNNNNNNNNNNNNNNNNNNNNNNNNNNNNNNNNNNUUGAAAUCACUUAGAAAUUUCUUCACUAUUUCAUCCACUUUCUCUUCUGUCAGCUUAUCAGCAUCGCUCAACACUCCUCUUGCCCAUGAUUCUUUUGGGAAACUCUGAAUUUUACAUCAUUAUGCAACAACACCUUAAGAAAAUUAAAGGAAACAAGAUGCAAUAAUAAACUAAUAUCUGUUAUAGGAAAGUUUUGAAUAAACUCAUGGUUACAUUGCAUAACAUAUGAUUGACUAUUCAUUAACUAUUCAGAGAUGAAGUUAUAGCAUAAAUAAACUUAAAUUAGAAGUUAUCAAAUAAUUAUUAAGAGUCGGAGUGUUUAUUGCAUAAGAAGAAAAAAAGUUAAGAAAUUAAUCAGUUAUGUUUAUAGUCAUCAUAAUAAGUUAUUUGUAAUAAUUGAGAAUACUAGAAUUUGUAAACAGAAGAAGUUGUUGCCUACCUCUAACUGCCCUCCACUGGAUGAUACAUUCACAAUUCUUGGCGAUUCAGAUAAUUGCAGGAGGGGCAUAAGGGAUUCAAUAGUUAUUUUAGCGCCAUAGUAAUUUAUUUGCAAGCAUUCUUCUGCUAACUCGUAUGUUUGAGUCAUUGCCCUUGUUCCUUCCUCAUCUGAUAUCACCUGAAAACAAUGGCAGCUCAAUGACCGUUUGCAAAUCCUACAAUUACACAUGUUAAAUUUAGAAAGGAUUGAGCCAGAAAAACUGUGUCCCCUCUUGCUGGAGAACUUUCAUAUAUAUACAAAUAAUUACAAUCUGUCAAGUUAAUUUUCAGCCCACAAAAUAAGCUAAGUUGUCAUAUACAUUUACUACAGCUAAUUAUCCUAAUUAAGAGAAUAACAGUUACAAAUAAAUAUAUAAUUGCAUAUCUUUGUCAUUUAUUCUGUUGACACCCCCUCUCAAAUUGAUGUCGGUGAAUCUACAAACAUCAAUUUGUCAAGUAGAAAAUUGUGACGCUGGCGUGGCAAUGAUUUAGUGAAAAUGUCAGCUAUUUGAACAUAUGUGGAGACAUGUGGUAGAGUGAUGACUCUACGAUCAUACGCUUCUCGGAUAGAAUGACAAUCGACCUCAAUGUGUUUCGUCCGUUCAUGGUAAACUGGAGUUGUUGCAAUCUGGAUGGCACUGGUGUUAUCAGAAUGCAGUGGAGUGGGUUGUGCUUGAGAAACUCCAAGCUCUGUAAGAAGACCACGUAGCCAAAUUAUUUCAGAACAAGCAGCAGACAUUGCGCGAUAUUCUGCUUCAGUGGAUGACUUGGAGAAAGAGUCUUGUUUCUUAUAUUUCCAUGAAAUAGGAGCAUUCCCAAGGAACAUACUGUCAACACCCAAUUUCGUCCGGGUGAUUACACCAACCAAUAGUUGAUCUCCUAGUGUCUGGACAACCAGCCCAAUCAGCACCACUAUAAGCUUGGAGUUCAAGAGAUGAAUUACUAGGAAAGAAUAAACCACGACUUGAGGUCCCAAGGAGAUAUUUAAUGAUACGCUGAACUGCUGAAAAAUGGAAGUGCCUUGGAGAUUGCAUGAACUUACUAACAGUGUGUACAAUAUAAGAAAUAUCAGGGCGAGUGAUAGUCACAUAGAUGAGACUACCAACUAGUUUCUGAUAUUGAGUGGAAUCGUCAAGAAGCUCUCCUUCUUGUCGCCUAUAUUUAACAUUAACUUCCAUUGGAGUGUUAACAGGGGUAGCACUGGUGAGUCCCGCUAGCUGGACCAAAUCUUGAAUAUAUUUAUGCUGAUUUACAAAAAUAUCUUCAGGAUGGUAAUGCACCUCUAAACCCAAGAAAUAAUUGAGAUGGCCUAACUCUUUCAUGUGAAAAUUUGAAUGCAACAUUUGUUUGAUUCUAGAAAUAACAUCUUGAUCAAAACUAGUGACCACAAUGUCAUCCACAUAAACAAGAAGUACGACAAUCCCUUUAGGAGUCCGUUGAAGGAAGAGUGAUGGAUCAUACUGACUUUGAUUGAAAGAAAAACCAAGAAGAGUGGAGCGAAACUUUUUAAACCAUACUCUUGGGGCCUGCUUCAAGCAAUAUAAAGAUCGUUUCAAUUUGCAAACAGUAUUCGGGGAGAGAGUCGACAUACCACCAGGAAGUGUGAUGUAAACUUCCUCCUUAAGGUCACCGUGGAGGAAUGCAUUAUUGACAUGCAUUUGAUGUAAUGACCAAGAUUUGGAUGCAGCAAGAGCAAGGCGAGAAGUUCACUUUCAAUAGCUUUUUUCCAACAUUCAUUCUUCAUUGCCUGAUUAUAAGAAGAAGGAAUAAGAAUAGAUGAUAAUGUUUCUGGGGGCUUACCAAUGCGUGAACUGCGUCGUAAAGGAGCUAGUUCUGGUCCUGGAGCUUGUACUAGAUCAACAUCCAAGGAAUUAUCUUGAAGGGGCCCAUGGGAUUGUGCAAGGUGAUGUUGAGUGGUAGUAUUUCGCCUUUGAUAGGUCAAUAGAGGUCUAGAUGAUGAUUAACCUGCAUAAGAAUCAGAAAAUAAUGGCAAAACAGAAAUUGGGGAAGAGAACGAGUCAUGAUGGUUUGUAAAAAAAUAUACACUUUCUAGAAAAAUGACAUUUCUAGAGACCCGAAUUCGGUGAAGGUUGGGAUCAUAAUAUAGAAAGCCCUUUUGAUAAGGAGAAUAGCCAAGAAAAGCACAUUCCACAGAUUGUGUAGUGAGCUUGGUGUGUUCGUGUGGAGGAAGAUGGACAUAACAUGUACAACUGAAGAUACGAAGAGUGGAGUAAUCGGUUGGGUGACCAAAUAAUCGAGUGAAAGGAGAUUCAUUAUUUAUGGAAGGAGAUGGUAAUCUGUUUAUAAGAUGAACAACAGUGGAAAGGGCUUCACAUCAAAAUCGUGAUGACACAUGUGACUAUAGUAAAAGAGUGCGGACAACAUUUAGCAAAUGGCGAUUUUUCCGUUCAGCCACCCCGUUUUGUUGAGGGGUUGAUGGGCAUGAUCUUUGAGAUAAAAUGCCAUUGGAUUGUAAGAAUUCCUGAAAUAAGUGUGAUGUGUAUUCCCCCCAUUAUCAGAGCGAAGAAUCUUGAUUUUGGAGGAGAAUUGAGCCUGAACAUAAGCAUUAAAGAAUUUAAAAGUGGAAAAGACUUCAUCUUUUGAGCGCAAAAAAUAGACCUAAGUGAAACGACUAUAAUCAUCAAUAAAAGUUACAAAAUAUUUGUAAUUAGCAUGAGACGUAACUGGUGCCACUCCCCAAACAUCACUAUGGAUGAUAUCGAAUGGUUGUGUUUCAGUCGACUGAUGUGUUGGAAAAGGUAGAAUUUUACUUUUGCCAAGCUUACAAGGAAUGCAAUCAAAAUGAAUAUUAUUAAGAGAUUGAAUGUGUUUAUUUCCAAGAAAACCAUAUUUGAACAUGUCAAGGAGAACAUUUGAGUUGGGAUGCCCAAGGCACUUAUGCCACACUUGGUGAUCGACCACAACAAAAUUACAAGAGACUAAAGGCAAAGAAAGACUUGGAGACAACGAGAAAUGGAUGGGAAAAAGACGUCCAACUUUAGGCCCCUUCGCGAUUAUCUUCCCCGAGUGUUGAUCCUGCACAAGACAACCAGACUGUGAGAAUUGAACUCGGCAAUCAUUGUCGACUAAUUGACCGACAUAAAUAAGAUUACUUGUGAGACCAGGAGCAACAAAGACAUUUGAUAGGAAUGGAGAAAUAUCACCAGUUUCUGUUAUAGGCAAUUGAUUUCUACCAGCAGUAUGUAUUGUCAUAUUCCCCGAAUAGUUUUUUAUAUUAGUAAGGAAUCGAGCAUUGCUGGUCAUGUGGUUGGAAGCCCCAAAAUCAAAGUACCAUGGGGAAGAGGAGUUACCUGAUAAUCCCAAAGCAGAAAAAGCUGAAAUUAUCAUUUGUUGAACCAUUUCAGGGGUCAAAGUUGGAGCAUCAGUAGUAGCAUUUGGAUGGACAGGUGCGGGAUUGGCAGAACUGUUGGGAAUAGAAGAAACAGUCGUGGUUGUAAAAGCUGUUACAGGUCGUCGUGGUGGCCUUAUUGGGCAUUCCUUAAUAAUAUGACCAUCCUUUUUACAAUAGUUGCAGAAUUUUUUCGGACAGGUUGAAGCAUAAUGGCCAAAUCGCUUGCAACUAAAGCAUUGAAUAGUACUCAUGUCAUGACGUCGUGACUUCCCUUGUGCCACGUAUGCGAUUGGAAUAGUAGAUAGUCUUUGGUCUUCAAUGAUGGACUGCGUAAGAAGACGUUGUUCUUCACAUAACAACUCAUUGAGACAUGCAUCCAACGAUGGGACAAGAUCUCUAUGCAUGAGAUUGGACUGGAUACCUUCAAAGUCAGAUCGCAAUUUCAUAAGAAAUUGGUCACGUUUAGUAAUCUCAUGAAUUGUUUGUACGAAACUAAGACCUUCGGAAGGCAAGUUUGCAUAAACUAUAUCAGUGUAUUAAGCCUAAAGGUUCAUGAAUUGAGAGUAAAAAUCAGAGAUGGAGAGACUAUCUUGUUUAAAAUUAGCGAUGUUAUGCUCAAGUUGGAAUCAACGAGCUGCAUUAUUUUGACUAUAAAUUUUCUUCAGGUAAGACCACAUUAUGCUUGCAGUCUUGUAAGGACGAAGAUUCAGGACAAUGUUCGAAUCCACCGAACUUAGGAUCCAGGUCAUGACUUGAGCAUCUUUGACAGCCCACUUAGCAUGAGCGACCUUAUCUUUGUCUUUGUCAGGAGCGGGAGUGCUGCCAUCAACAUGACCCCACAAAUCUUUUCCGGUGACAAAAAUCUCGAAUUAGAAUGCCCAAGCGGAGUAGUUUUUUUCGUUAAGGCGAAGGAACAAGACAUCAUAUUUUUCAGAAGCCAUGGAGCAAGGAAAAACAGAGACGGAAAGAUUCGAGAAUCGAAAGUUCGAAAAUCGAAAGUCGAGAGUCAAGAGUCGAGAGUCGAGAACAUGAGACUGAAAAAAAACCCAAACUAGGUUUGGGAAUCGUAACCUAGACUGAUACCAUGUUAAAUUUAGAAAGGAUUGAGCUAGAAAAAUUGUGUCCCCUCUUGUUGGAGAACUUUCAUAUAUAUACAAAUAAUUACAAUCUGUCAAGUUAAUUUUCAGCCUACAAAAUAAGCUAAAUUGUCAUAUACAUUUACUAUAGUUAAUUAUCCUAAUUAAGAGAAUAACAGUUACAAAUAAAUAUAUAAUUGCAUAUCUUUGUCAUUUAUUGCAUAUCUUUGCCAUUUAUUCUAUUGACAACACACACCUAUUUUAAGUCUCUUGUGCAUUUAAGAAAUCUAUUGACUCUGUGUUGGGUUUAACAACAAAUGCACGUUCAUGAGAUGAGAAUUUUCCAAGCCUUUAGAAGCUCUACUUUUACCAUUUCAAUAGUUGACAUGGGAUGGGAUCUAGAAUUUUAAACGGUCUACAAAAGUUGCAGAUUUUAGGUCUCUUUUAGACAUUGCAACUUUCCAUGUCUAUUAAUUAGAUUUCAGAACACACUUAUAUUCUUACCCCACGAUUCAUGAGGACUGUAGUGAAUAAGUCUCUGUCUUUAAUUACAAUUCCAUUGAUUCCUGCAUUGUUAACCUGCACAGAACAACAUUUCAUAUUGAAAUAUGCCAACACAAAAAAUUGAUUCCCUUCAAGCCUUAAAAAAUUUAUCCUAAUCAAAUGACUAGAUGUAUAAGGAAUCUGUCAAAUUGAUUCAAUGAAAUCUCUUUUUAACCUCUGGUGCCUCUAAUAUCUUAAAAGCAUCAUUGGAAGUAAUGGUUAAUGCACUCACCAACAACAUUGAACAAUUUCUAUCCAAAUCCGAUAAAUUCUUUUAACAAAUGAGCAAGAACGGAAAACUUUGGUUUGAGAUGAGAUCAUUAUGGAAAUUUAGAAAGAGGAAUAAUAAGAAAUAUUCAAAAGUCUUAAUGAAAUAAACUUUAAAACUCUAUCUCAAUUGGUUUAUGAGAUUUAUAUUUAUUUAGAUAUAACAAAUUUGUUUUAUCUUUCAUCGAUUGUUUCAGAUUGUUAUUCUGAUACCAUCUUAUAAAAGGUAAACUAAAAUAAAAUAAUUUUGUCUUACAACUUAUAAUAUUAAGUUUUGACUAACUUAUAUUUGUAAAUUUAACUUAUCUCUUGUUUAAGUCGAACAAAAGAAAUAUGCUUUCAUACUUGUACCGUAUGGCUCUCCCAAAGCCGACUUUCCCAAGGCUGUCAUACCGCAUGGUCCUCCCAACGCCAUGUACCGAACGACUCUUCUCAGGCCAACCAAUCACUAGCCAACCAUUCAGGUCGACCAUCCAUGCCGAACGACUCUUCCCAGGCCGACCAUCCAAGCCUACCAACCAUCUAAUCCGACCGUCCAGGUCGACCACAUCAUUAGAUUACAAACCAUAAUAGCUCAUCAAAGCCCCUAAUGGAGGUUAAGGUGUAAUUGGGCCGUCAUUAGGCCGACGAAAGGUAAAGGUCCAUUACAACUACUAUAAACAAAGGUCUCAGGUAUGACUUCUAGACCACGAUGCGUCAUAUAUGCAUUACUUUAUGCUAACCACUCGGUUACAUUACUAACUUGAGUGUCAUAGUGUCUUUGACAGGUGUCCACCCUUAUGGCUUCGAAAAGGAGGAGGGAGAGCGAACAAUACGACUUGGAGUAUGAGGACGACUAAGGAGCUCCUCCGGCCUUCAACAAACUCGCUCGGUCUUAGAAAUAACAAGUAAGGUUCGUCCGGUCGUCAAGACAACCUAGAAUACUCAGGUCCGUCUGGUCUUCAAGUUCCAUCCAGUCUUCAAGCUCCAUCUAGUCUUAGAGACAACAUGGAGUGUUUUGAGCAAGGGACCUCCAAACCUACCGAAACAUUUUGGUGCCCACCAUGGGGCCAACUGGCAUCCCUGUAACCAUAAGGAACCAGACAAGGAUGCAGUCUCAGCAUCAUGAUGUCGACCUGACCCCUACAUAUCAAUCCUAAUUGUAGGAACUCCCACCACCAGCGUCAACAAGCUUUUAUGGCUUCACAGAUAACUAUUCAUUUAGUUUAGUACUCAAUAUUACAUUGUUCAAGAUUUGUUCAGGGUCCAAUGAAUCAUUCAUCACUAAGCCAAACAUUUGGCCCCAAGUGUUGAGCUUCAACCGUCCGGCCUUACCUUGGCCUCAACUUGGAUUCCCUUGGUCUCAAUCGUUCGGUCGUCGCUUGACCUUUCAGGUACUUUCUCAAAAUUGGCGUCACAGGUAUUUAGCCAAACAUUUGGCCCUAGGUGUUGAGCCUCAACCGUCCGACCUUACCUUGGCCUCAACUUGGAUUCCCUUGGUCUCAACCGUUUGGUCAUAGCUUGACCUUUCAGGUACUUUCUCAAACUCGACCUCACAGGUAUUCAACCAAACAUUUGGCCCCAAGUGUUGAGCCUUAACCGUCCGACCUUACCUUGGCCUCAACUUGGAUUCCCUUCGUCUCAAUCGUUCAGUCAUAGCUUGACCUUUCAGGUACUUUCUCAAACUCGGUCUCACAAGUAUUCAUCCAAACAUUUGGUCCCAAGUGUUGAGCCUCAACCGUCCGACCUUACCUUGGCCUCAACUUGGAUUCCCUUGGUCUUAACCGUUCGGUCAUGGCUUGACCUUUCAAAUACUUUCUCAAAAUUGGCCUCACAGGUAUUCAACAAAAUAUUUGGCCCUAAGUGUUGAGCCUCAACCGUCCGACCUUACCUUGGCCUUAACUUGGAUUCCCUUGGUCUCAACUGUUCAGUCAUAGCUUGACCUUUCAGGUACUUUCUCAAAAUUGGCCUCACAGGUAUUCAGCCAAACAUUUGGCCCCAAGUGUUGAGCCUCAACCGUCUGGCCAUACGUUGGCCUCAACUGCUCGGCCUCCGUGGCCUCACAAGUACUUAGCCAAAUUUGGCAUCAACGAUUCACCCAUUCGGCCUCCAUUAUCCUUCCAUUGAGCCUCAACCGCUCGACCUUCCCUGGCCUCACAGGUAGUUAGCCAAAUUUGGCAUCAACGAUUCAAGCAUUCGGCAUCAAAAGCGUUCGGCCUCAACACCUCGGGCAGUGAACGACGAGUUCAUUACAGAACCACUGAUAAAGCCCAAGUUGAUGAACAGCGAGUUCCUAAAGGAACCAUUAUCAAUUUGGUCAGGCGAUGAACGACGAGUUCAUCAUAGAACCAUUGUCGUCCAAUUCCAAAUAAAGGCCAAGUUGAUGAAUGGCGAUUUCCUAAAGGAACCACAAUCAAUUUGGCCGGGCGGUGAACGACAAGUUCAUUAUAGAACCAUUGCCGUCCAAUUCCAAAUAAAGGCCAAGUUGAUGAACGAAGAGUUCCUAUAGGAACCACUUUCAAUUUUGUCGGGUAGUGAACGACGAGUUCAUUACAGAACCACUACCGCCCGAUUCUAGAUAAAGCCCAAGUUGAUGAACGACGAGUUCCACUGUCAAUUUGGUCGAGCGAUGAACGACGAGUUCAUUACAGAACCACUACCGCUAUUCCAGAUAAAACUUAAGUUGGGAAAUGACACGUUCAGCAGAUGAACCAGCGCCACCAUCCGACCUUACAUUGGCCUCAACAGUUCAACCUUACAUUGGCCUCAACCGUUUGGCCUUACGUUGGCCUCAACUUCUUGGUCUCCCAUGGCCUCGACCGCUUGGCCAUUCCUUGGUCUCAAGUAAAUUCUCAAACCUGGCCUCACAGGUAUUCAGCCAACCAUUCGGCCUCGACCGUUUGGUCAUACCUUGGUCUCGAGUGCUCGACCUCCCAUGGCCUUACAAGUACUUGGCCAAAGUCAAAUUCAACCAUUCGGCCUUGAUCGUUUACAUGCAUUAUUUAUUGUUCUAAUUGCUCGGUUACAUUUCUAACUUGAACAUCAGAGUCUCUUUGACAAGUGCCCGCCCCUACGACUUCGAGAAGGAGGAGGGAGAGCGAACAAGACGACUUGGAGUAUGAGGAUGACUAAGGAGCUCGUCCGGUUUCAACCAACCUGCCCGUCUUAGAAAUAACAAGUAAGGUUCGUCCAGUCGUCAAUACAACAAGUAAGGUCCGUCUGGUUGUCAAGACAACCUAGGAUGCUAAGGUCCGUCCGGUCUUCAAGGUCUAUCCAGUCUUCAAGGCCCGCUAGUCUUCAAGGUCUGUGCAGUCAUCAAGGUCCAUCCGGUCUUAAACACAACAUGAAGUGUUUUGAGCAAGGGAUCUCAAAACCCUUAUGAAACAAUACUCACAUAACGAACAUUCUAAAAAUGGGUAACUUACAAUAGUAGUAGGAUGAGCAUACCAAAGCACAAACUUUCACUUUUAACUGAAGCCUAAGCACGGAAGAUUUAUGAGACAAACUUUAACAUAGAACAAACGAAAGAGAGAAGCAUCAAAGUCUGAUUUUACCAGAAUAUCAAGUUUACCAAAUUUGGAUUUGAUAAAAUCUGCAAAAGCAGCUACACUUGCAGGAUGAGCCACAUCUAGCUGAUGAAAGAAGACUAGAUGAGAAAGAGCAGAGGCUUUGAGUGUUUCCAAUGCUUGAAGACCCCUCUCUUCAUUCCUUGCUGUGAGUACCACCUUUAUUCCUUCUGAAGCUAACUGCCUAACUAUCUCUAAUCCAAUCCCUUUAUUUGCUCCUGUCACUACUGCAUAUCUGAUCAACUCAACCACAUCUCAAAGGUCAAAGGGACUCACAAAAUCUAAAUUUUUAGUUCUGCAAUAUAAUUGGUAUUUGAAACUUGUGAGAAAAAAAGCAGGAUUACCUCUGUGUAGCUUCCCCCAUCUUCAGUUUCAACUCUGAACUGUGAUAUGCAGCUUAUUAAAAACCUGUUAUGGUUACCAAGUUCUUAUUUAUGCAUAUGUUUGAGCUCUGAAUAUGAAUUCCACAAAUUAUGGUUUCCUAUACAUUACUAAGAAUACCAAUGCUCAAGCCUGCAUGUCUGUAACUACAAUUUUUUAUUGUGCUUGUCGUUUAUGUCUUGUUUCUUUCCAUGCCAAAUAAAAAGGACAGAAAAGUUGAAAAUAGAUUUCAUAGAAAAAGCAUAAAAUAUUUACUAUAGUGCAUAGGUUAGGAAAAAGUCACUGUCCAACUUAAAAUAUUUUUGAUCGAGUCAAGUUAAAUUUCUUUGUUUUUUUAUGAUAAAUUCAAUCCAAUUUAAUCUAUUUUUUAGCGAAUUGGAUUAUAUCAGACGAAUUGAACUAAGGUUUUUGAAUUUUUUAAUUUUUUGAAAAUUAUAAUUUUCAAGUAUCAACUUAAUUAAAAAAUAACAUAGUUCUUUUUAUCAAAUUAUAUCACUUAUAACAUGCCAUUUUAAUAGCAUUCUGCAAUUAAAGGAAUAUAUAAUUUGCUAUAUCACAGUUAUCCCAAUAUAACAAUAAUAACAUAAUCUAUGUUUACAAGGUACAUAUUACUAAGAGUUAAAUUAUACCAAAACUAAAAGCUAAAUAGAGUUUUACAAAAAUCACUAUACACUAAAACUAAACAUCCCACCUUCAAGAACAUCACGAAUAGACAUCUUUCUCUCCUCAGACCAUUAAGGACCCAAAUAACUCAAUUUUCUCCCAAGAAAUUAACAUGCAUUCCUCUGUACUAUAUAGUAGACUGGACUUGAAGUCUAAUUUAUUUUUAUAAAAUUAGUCUGUAAAAAGAGGUUCAUAACCAUUUAUAUCUAGUUAAGGUAGGAUCUUGAUCACUCUGUUAAUUUCUUCAUGUCUUAUAAAACUGCUAAGAACUUUUGCAACUUUUCAUCUGUGAAAUAUGAAAUACAGAAAUAGGCUCAAUAAACAUAGUUGUAACCCAGAAUAGUAAUUGACAACAUGAAAAUGACAUUAUGCAAAUACAACAUGAUAUAAUGUGCUUGAAACAGGUUCAACAAUUGAGAAGCAAAAUCACUGGUUUUAUCCUCAAACCAGAAAAUUGCAUAACUAGAAAUCAAAAGGAAGCAACAUCAGUUCUGAAAUAGAAGAGACCAGAUGGAGAACCAUUGGGAAGAAGUGCAAGCUUGACAGGACUAGCAGCACCUUCUUCAACUGUUAGAAAACCAGUGUUUGAUGUUAUAUCUGUCUUCACAUAACCAGGGCAAACACUGUUUAUGCAGAAUGAUGGAUGUUUCUUUGCAAGGAUUCUCGUGUACCCAUUCAUAGCAGCUUUCGAUACAAUAUAGGCACUUAGAUACUUUGGCC